rnacentral:piRNA from 1 species
UCACAGAUGGAUAGCAAGUUUUGUACGGA